CCUACGGGCGGCAGCAGUGAGGAAUAUUGGUCAAUGGCCGGAAGGCUGAACCAGCUAUGCCGCGUGAAGGUCAGUGCCCUAUGGGCGUUAAACUUCUUUUGUGCGGGAGCAAUAAUGGUCACGUGUGGCCAGACGAGAGUACCGUACGAAUAAGCAUCGGCUAACUCCGUGCCAGCAGCCGCGGUAAUACGGGGGAUGCAAGCGUUAUCCGGAUUUAUUGGGUUUAAAGGGUGCGUAGGCUGUGAGGUAAGUCAGCGGUGGAAUGCCACGGCUCAACGGGGUGAAGUGCCAUUGAUACUGCCUUGCUGGAAUGCGGAUGCCGUGGGAGGAAUGUGUGGUGUAGCGGUGAAAUGCAUAGAUAUGACACAGAACACCGAUUGCGAAGGCAGCUCACGAAUCCGCGAUUGACGCUGAUGCACGAAAGCGUGGGUAUCAAACAGGAUUAGAUACCCCUGUAGUC
rnacentral:rRNA from 1 species